AUGAUCCUAAAUUGGGAAGGAGAA
rnacentral:siRNA from 1 species